rnacentral:tRNA from 1 species
GAGGGUGUAGCUCGAGUGGUGGAGUGUGUGUUUAGCAUGCAUGAGGUCCUGGGUUCAAUCCCCAGUACCUCCU